GUGUCCGGUAGCGGCUGAAAAGGCCAGUCACCCACGCGAGCGGCGGUUUCACGGGUUCCCACUAGGCCCCACCUACUGAGGCUGCCCCGCCUCCUCCUCCGUCGGCCCCGCCCCCGAUGUCCGGCCCGCCCUCCGAGGCCCGCCUCCGCCUUGUUGGCCCCGCCCCGCAGAUCAGGCUCCAGCUUCGCCAAUGGGAUUUUAUUUUCUUCUUUAAUUUGGUUUGAUCAUAAGCCAUGUGAGGAAACCUCUGUAUCAUGACCAGGAGUCACGUGAUUUCCUUCGCCUCGGUCAUAGCUCUGGGGAGAUGAGUUUUCCAAGGAAAGAAGGCUAACUUUUGGAUACACUACUUCCACAGUCUGUCUAGUGCAGAAAUACAUUAGGUGUUAAGACUCCAAGAGUGAGCGGAUUUCACGUGCGGGAAGCAUUGGUGUCUCACCCGUGAUGUUUAGGUGUUGAGUCUUAACGGGGUACUUAGAAACCACUGUGUUCUCUUAGGCCCCAGUUUUCACUCAUGAAAGGCGCCAGGCAAAGCAGUUCGAUUAUUCUGUGUGACUCUGCCAUGGGAAAGCUAAAAGAAGAAAAAAAAGACCUAAAUGUUUCAAGAGGCUGCGGCCACUGCCUUGGACAGAGGGAAUGACCAUGGGUGGGAGUGGCCGAAGAGGAGUGGAGAUGAGAUCGUCGGAGGAGCGGAGGUCAAGCAAGGGAGACAUCAUCUCUGUGGAUUUCAGAUCACCAAGAAUUAGGACAGGAGAGGCUUAGAGCGGGUGAAAAUGAACCAUGAGUGAAAAUUUCUCGGACAGGGUCUUAGUUGCAGCACACAGGAUCUUCGUUGAGGCACGCGGGAUCUUUAGUUGCGGCAUGCGGGAUCUAUUUCCCUGACCAGGGAUCGAACCUGUGCCCCCUGCAUUGGGACCGCUGAGUCUUAACCACUGGACCACCAGGGAAGUACUGACCCAGAAAUGUUCUGCUGAUAGACACCAGGUAAGAACCGAGGGCUUCCUGUUUCCCUUCUAGAAACAUCAUGACCUCUGCGCCAGCUUAUUGGUCUCGCGAGUCAGACCAUUCUCACCGCGGCUUUGACUCUGCGUCCACUGCGGUCACCACGCCCCCCUUGCCAGUGGCUGGUGAGUGCCGCCAUUGGCCCCUGGCAACCCGGGGUCCAAUACUCCCCAUUGCAUUUAGAUUUCCCAACUUAGUGACUCCAGUUCCCAGGGAGGUCUGGUCUACAGAGAAGGACAAUCACAGAGCCCUGCAAGGAUGGUGGGUCUCCGUCACCUACUGAUUCUUCACAGCCUCGGUGAAAGCUGUCUUCUGACCCUCCCACUGUGGCUGCCCACUCCACACCCCAGGUGUGGCCUUGGCGUCUGAGCUCCUCUGCACCUUGACCUCCUGCAGGAGGUGCUCCCCUUCCACGGAAGUUGCUGAAGGGGACGCCGAGCUUACCUGGCGUGGCUGCAGCCGCCAUGCUGGUGAGGAGUUACCCCAGGACAGAGCCACGUCGAGGAGAGAGGAGCCAGGAGAGGCAGAUGCAGAAAGAGGGACAGAAAGAAAGAGCUGGACAACUCCUGGGUCCUGUGGUACCCGGGUCUCGGUCUGUUCAGUUAUCGACCUAAGACAUUUUCUUUUUGUUUAAAGUGGUUUCUUUUUGACCGGUGGUCCGGUGGUAAAGAAUCCACCUUCCAAUGCAGUGGAUGUGGGUUCGAUCCCUGGUCGGGGAACUACUAUCCCACAUGCUGCGGGGCAACUAAGCCUGUGCACCGCAACUACUGAGCCCGCGCGCCUCAACUACUGAGCCCGCGCGCCUCAACGAGAGAGCCCGCGUGCUGCAACUACAGAGCCCACACACUCUGGAACCCUCGCCACAACUAGAGAGAGAAAACUCGUACGCCACAACUAGAGAGAAGCCCACGUGCUGCAACAACAGAUUUCGUAUGCCUCAACGAAGAUC